GAUGAACGCUGGCGGCGUGCCUAAUACAUGCAAGUCGAGCGAAUGGAUUAAGAGCUUGCUCUUAUGAAGUUAGCGGCGGACGGGUGAGUAACACGUGGGUAACCUGCCCAUAAGACUGGGAUAACUCCGGGAAACCGGGGCUAAUACCGGAUAACAUUUUGAACCGCAUGGUUCGAAAUUGAAAGGCGGCUUCGGCUGUCACUUAUGGAUGGACCCGCGUCGCAUGAGCUAGUUGGUGAGGUAACGGCUCACAAAGGCAACGAUGCGUAGCCGACCUGAGAGGGUGAUCGGCCACACUGGGACUGAGACACGGCCCAGACUCCUACGGGAGGCAGCAGUAGGGAAUCUUCCGCAAUGGACGAAAGUCUGACGGAGCAACGCCGCGUGAGUGAUGAAGGCUUUCGGGUCGUAAAACUCUGUUGUUAGGGAAGAACAAGUGCUAGUUGAAUAAGCUGGCACCUUGACGGUACCUAACCAGAAAGCCACGGCUAACUACGUGCCAGCCGCCGCCGUAA
rnacentral:rRNA from 1 species